AUGGACGGUAUUCAUGCGAGCGAUGGACGGAUGCAUAUGAACCAUGCACAGCAUUCGAUGCACACGCAAUCUGUGCAAGAGCAGGAACACCACGACUUUCAUUACACGAGUAAUGGGAAUACAUUGGCUGAUGAGCAUGAAAAUGAAGGUCAUGGCAUUAUGGUUGUGGAAAGGGAAGCUCCAUCCGACCAUGGUGACCUUCCUGAGAAUCGUGGUGUAAUGGUGGAUCGUGGAGGUGAUAACUGUGAUCAACUCACCCUGUCUUAUCAGGGUCAAGUUUAUGUUUUCGACACUGUCUCGCCCGAAAAGGUUCAAGCCGUGUUAUUAUUAUUGGGAGGUCGUGAAGUACCUAUUCGUGUUCCCUCAAUACCAAUAACUAAUCAACAAAAUGAUAGGCAUCUCACUGAUGAAGCGUUUAACCAGGCACUUGCCAAUAUCCCCCCACGUCUAAGUGUCCCUCAGAGAUUAGCUUCUUUGAUUAGAUUUCGUGAAAAGCGAAAGGAACGUAAUUUUGACAAGAAAAUUCGGUAUACAGUUCGUAAAGAGGUAGCACUUAGGAUGCAACGUAAUAAAGGCCAGUUCACAUCCUCUAAACCAACUCAUGAAGAUUCAUCAUUGGCCAUAACAAGUUGGGAAUCAAAUGAGAAUUGGGCUACCGAUGGAAAUGGUUCCCAACAACAAGAAAUUCUCUGCCGACAUUGUGGCAUUAGUGAGAAGUCAACACCAAUGAUGCGACGUGGACCUGAUGGGCCAAGAACCCUUUGCAAUGCUUGCGGACUCAUGUGGGCAAACAAGGGAACUCUGCGGGACCUCUCAAAAGCACCAAACCAGGGUGGACAAGCUUCAACAUUCAAUAGAAAUGAGAAUGUUGUGCAGGAUGGAGAUUCCGAGUCCAACCCAAAAGGUGCUUAGAAUUGAGACAGAUGUUUAUGAUUGCUGUUGCGGAAAUUAUACUGAGCUUAAUCUCUCCUUACAGAGUAGUUUGAAACGGGUUAGUCUAAUGGCUAAGAAUCAGGUUUCACUCCCGCGACAGAGAGGCCCUUAUAGAUUCUAUUCUGGCCAAUUCAUCUUGGAAACAAGGUAUUGUCUCUUGCACAGGUUUCUAUCCCUUUGUACAGAGUCACUCCAAUGGCUGACACUAGCGUUCGGGUUGAACCGAAUCUGAUCUGAAUAAUGCAAAAUUUGACUACGAAAACAGGAGUCUCUGAGUCUAACAACACAAGGCUACAAAAUAAGAUGCUCACAUAAACUCAUCUACUUAAUUUAUCUAUUUCUUUAUGAUUUUCUACAUUGUGCACUUCUCGUAAUGGCAGCUGAGAAACAUGUUUGGAAUGAGGUAAAAUGGAUGUAAACUGUUAUCUCAAAUUGGAAAGCACCCUUAACCCCACGGCUUUUAGGCUCAUCAGGAUUGUGUCUUCCCGCACAAGAUGAAGGCGUGGACAAGUCUCUGAGCUGCACGAAUCUGAUCUGGUGUGCCGGACACGACCACUUUACCAUCAAAUAUUCCAGGUUUAGCAUCAUGAACCACCACCAUUGCCCCUGAUAUCUGCCACAGUGUAACACACAACACCAAACACAUUAUGAAGGCAAAAAACACUAUGUGCUGCCCAACUUUGGUGCUCCACUAACCUGCUGAACAUGAGCAAUGUUGGCAUUGUUCUCUCCAUAGAUAUGGCAGAUUAAAGUUUGUGGAAUCACCAUCUCCAUAGAUGUACCUCCCACAAAAUGAGCUGGACCCCCGCUGUUCAUAGAAAACCCAUAUACAGACUGUAACGAAAACUAAUAAAUAAACCCUUAAAACA